rnacentral:rRNA from 1 species
GACGAACGCUGGCGGCGUGCUUAACACAUGCAAGUCGAACGAGUGGCGAACGGGUGAGUAAUACGUGAGUAACCUGCCCUCUUUUUGGGAUAAGCCUUGGAACCGGGGCCUAAUACUGGAUAAAGGGGGAUGGGCUCGCGGCCUCUCAGCUUGUUGGUGGGGUGAUGGACUACCAAGGCGGUGCCGGGUAGCCGGCCUGAGAGCGUGACCGGCCACAUUAGGGCUGUGAUGCGGCCCAGAUGCCUACGGGAGGGAGCAGUGGGGGGUAUUGCACAAUGGGCGAUGGCCGGAUGCGGCGACGCCGCGUGGGGGAUGAGGGCUUUCGGGUUGUAAACCACUUUGGCGAUCGAACGGAGAGGGGGAGAAAAAGCGCCGGCUAAGUACGUGCCAGCCGCCGCGGUAAUUC